CUGAAGCCAAUUAAGCCAACUGAUCUCCUUCCCUGUGGGGGCAGGAGUGCAGUGGCUGCAAAUAGCGGCCUCCUCAGUAGUGUAUGCAACAUUGCACAUAUGGGUUGCCCUAAGGGACCUUGGAGACAGCC